rnacentral:rRNA from 1 species
CGACCGCUGGCGGCGUGCUUAACACAUGCAAGUCGAACGGAAAGGCCCUGCUUUUGUGGGGUGCUCGAGUGGCGAACGGGUGAGUAGCACGUGAGUAACCUGCCCUUGACUUUGGGAUAACUUCAGGAAACUGGGGCUAAUACCGGAUAGGAGCUCCUGCUGCAUGGUGGGGGUUGGAAAGUUUCGGCGGUUGGGGAUGGACUCGCGGCUUAUCAGCUUGUUGGUGGGGUAGUGGCUUACCAAGGCUUUGACGGGUAGCCGGCCUGAGAGGGUGACCGGCCACAUUGGGACUGAGAUACGGCCCAGACUCCUACGGGAGGCAGCAGUGGGGAAUAUUGCACAAUGGGCGGAAGCCUGAUGCAGCAACGCCGCGUGCGGGAUGACGGCCUUCGGGUUGUAAACCGCUUUCGCCUGUGACGAAGCGUGAGUGACGGUAAUGGGUAAAGAAGCACCGGCUAACUACGUG